AUAUGUGACGUCAUCUUGGCAUGGUUUUUUUUAUUAUGGACACCCUUUUGCCCUUGCUUUAUGGAUAUAUUACAUUAGUUGGCUUAAUGUAUCUAGAAAAUAAACCUCUUUUUGAGCCUGUUUUGGUAAAUUAAUUCUUCUUGGAGUUUCUGCAUUAGUCUACACUCUCGAUCACUAUACCUCCAGUCAUCUUCUAACUUUACCCAACAACCCAUAUGGUUUAACUUGAAAAGUAUCAAUUCUCAAGUUGAAGUUCAAGAUUACACAAACAAAGAGUCAACUGAUUGCUUUUCUUUGAGUUUUCAUGAUGUCCAGACUUAAAUGCAUGUGGUAACAGGUGGUAAACACAAUAGAUUGGACAAACUGUAGUGCCACUCAAAUGGUGGCAUCCCCCGAAAGGCCUCCACGUUCAGGAGAUCAUAUGGGUACACUAGCGUAUUGUUUUUUUUUCAAAUAAAAAUCAUGAUCUUUGCCAUGUCACUACAGACUCCGAUAGAAGGGACUAGAUUAAUUUUUUGAUAGUUAUUCUAGGAUUUCCUGCAGCUUUGAUUAACUUUUUAGCUGACUCUGUACAUGCAUAUCUUUAUCGACUAUUUUCUGUCAAUUCAUUGGGUAUAUAGAAGAACUCAUUCAGUGUACCUAAAGUUUCUAGAAUAGAAAGCCUCCACAGAUUAGCAUUACUGCACAAUAUUCUGUAAUUUUCUUUAAUUGCCUUUCACUACU